rnacentral:rRNA from 1 species
GACGAACGCUGGCGGCGUGCUUAACACAUGCAAGUCGAACGGAAAGGCCCUGCUUUUGUGGGGUGCUCGAGUGGCGAACGGGUGAGUAACACGUGAGUAACCUGCCCUUGACUUUGGGAUAACUUCAGGAAACUGGGGCUAAUACCGGAUAGGAGCUCCUGCUGCAUGGUGGGGGUUGGAAAGUUUCGGCGGGUGGGGAUGGACUCGCGGCUUAUCAGCUUGUUGGUGGGGUAGUGGCUUACCAAGGCUUUGACGGGUAGCCGGCCUGAGAGGGUGAACGGGCACAGUGGGACUGAGAUACGGACCAGACUCGUACGGGAGGCAGCAGUGGGGAAUAUUGCACAAUGGGAGGAAGCCUGAUGCAGCAACGCCGCGUUCGGGAUGCCGGCCUUCGGGUUGUAAACCGCUUUCGCCUGUGACGAAGCGUGAGUGACGGUAAUGGGUAAAGAAGCACCGGCUAACUACGUG